GUGUUGUAUGAAAGGAGAAAAGGUUAGCACUCCCCUUGACAAGGAUGGAAGAGGCCCUCAGGCCUGACAACACGUGGUUAAGGCAUUGCCACCUACUUUGUGGCAUCUAACCACUGUUUUUC
rnacentral:ncRNA from 1 species